rnacentral:rRNA from 1 species
CGUAGACUCCUACGGGAGGCAGCAUGGGGAAUAUGCACAAUGGGGAAACCCUGAUGCAGCCAUGCCGCGUGUGUGAAGAAGGCCUUCGGGGUUGUAAAGCACUUUCAGUAGGGAGGAAGGUAGUGUAGUUAACACCUGCAUUAUUUGACGUUACCUACAGAAGAAGCACCGGCUAACUCCGUGCCAGCAGCCGCGGUAAUACGGAGGGUGCGAGCGUUAAUCGGAAUUACUGGGCGUAAAGCGCAUGCAGGCGGCCUGUUAAGUCAGAUGUGAAAGCCCGGGGCUUAACCUCGGAAUUGCAUUUGAAACUGGCAGGCUAGAGUCUUGUAGAGGGGGUAGAAUUUCAGGUGUAGCGGUGAAAUGCGUAGAGAUCUGAAGGAAUACCAGUGGCGAAGGCGGCCCCCUGGACAAAGACUGACGCUCAGAUGCGAAAGCGUGGGGAGCAAACAGGAUUAGAUACCCUGGUAG